rnacentral:rRNA from 1 species
AGUGAACGCUGGCGGUAGGCCUAACACAUGCAAGUCGAACGGCAGCACAGUAAGAGCUUGCUCUUACGGGUGGCGAGUGGCGGACGGGUGAGGAAUACAUCGGAAUCUACUUUUUCGUGGGGGAUAACGUAGGGAAACUUACGCUAAUACCGCAUACGACCUACGGGUGAAAGCAGGGGACCUUCGGCCCUUGCGCGAUUGAAUGAGCCGAUGUCGGAUUAGUUAGUUGGCGGGGUAAAGGCCCACCAAGGCGACGAUCUGUAGCUGGUCUGAGAGGAUGAUCAGCCACACUGGAACUGAGACACGGUCCAGACUCCUACGGGAGGCAGCAGUGGGGAAUUUUGGACAAUGGGCGCAAGCCUGAUCCAGCCAUACCGCGUGGGUGAUGAAGGCCUUCGGGUUGUAAAGCCCUUUUGUUGGGAAAGAAAAGCAGCAGGUUAAUACCCCGCUGUUCUGACGGUACCCGAAGAAUAAGCACCGGCUAACUUCGUG